AGCAUUUGCGUGUGUUUUUGUUCAAGUGGUGGACAAAGACAUCAAAGGCAUGUGCAAAAAUAAUCCUCUUUUGCAAUCCAGAACUCACUGUUCAGUAUGAGUUUUGAUACAUAUAAGAAAGAAUAUG
ensembl:snoRNA